CCUACGGGAGGCAGCAGUGGGGAAUAUUGCGCAAUGGGCGAAAGCCUGACGCAGCGACGCCGCGUGAGGGAUGAAGGUCUUCGGAUCGUAAACCUCUGUCAGCAGGGAAGAACGGUCACUGUGCUAAUCAGCAGUGAAUUGACGGUACCUGCAAAGGAAGCACCGGCUAACUCCGUGCCAGCAGCCGCGGUAAUACGGAGGGUGCGAGCGUUAAUCGGAAUUACUGGGCGUAAAGCGCUCGUAGGCGGUAUGUCAAGUCAAGGGUGAAAUCCCCGCGCUCAACGUGGGAACUGCCGUUGAAACUGGCAGACUGGAGUGUGUGAGAGGAGAGUGGAAUUCCAGGUGUAGGAGUGAAAUCCGUAGAUAUCUGGAGGAACAUCAGUGGCGAAGGCGACUAUCUGGCACAUAACUGACGCUGAGGAGCGAAAGCGUGGGUAGCAAACAGGAUUAGAUACCCGAGUAGUC
rnacentral:rRNA from 1 species